rnacentral:lncRNA from 1 species
CUGCUUAGUUCCCUCUCUUCCUGACUUCCUGGUAUCCUGUGGCUGAAACUGGGACUCUGUAGCAUUGGGUACAUAUGUAAUUUUUUUUCCCCUUGGCCAGUUCAUUAACAUUAUUUUGAUUUUCCAAGAAAAUGGUCCUUGGUCGGACAUUUACAAAGUUACAAUGCCUAAGAUCUAAAGAUAGAGUUUCUUUUAAUGACCUUCCUCAGAGUAAUAGAACUUCUUAGUGCUUGACAACUUACCACUGUCGCUAUUGUUACUGUGAUAAUUUCCUCAUUCAAAAUUGUUCAACAUAUUUCUUCUUUUUUAAUUUUUAUUGUUUUAGGUGUCUUUUGUGGAAGACUACCAAAUGAAAGUGCCCUUUUAGAGGUGAAAGAAUAUGUGACAACAUUGAGUGGCACCUUCCAUCUAAGAUUGUCACAGUAAAGAAUGUGACAGAGGAGACUGUGGAAGACACGAUGAAAAAUAGUACAGCUUUAAGUAGAGCUAAUCUCAGCAUGUUUUUGUGCACCUGAGUGACUUCAAUAAGCAUGUCUCUCAUGCAAAUUUGGAAGCAUAGUUGGUGAUUCCUAGGAGGAUUCAGACGAAAAUGAUUUUCAGGUGCCCAUGGGAAACAGUUCCCAAUGCAGUCUUCAUGGGCAUUUUUGACCAAAUGUGAACAAAAUCUCUCCUUGGAACGGGAAGAUCACUGAAAACACUUGCCAUGAAUCUAAAGUAUUUUUAGUGGCAUGAUUUUAAUUUCAUCUCUUGAAGAUUUUAUCAUCGCUGUGGAAUUUUAGAUCUCAGAGAUGACAUUUCCUAAAAGAUGUUCCAGGUAAAAGAAGCAGAAAGAACAAAAUAUAACUAUGUACUAUGUACAAAAAAAAAGGAUUUUCUCAUUUUUAGGCCCUUAUGAAACAUAUUUUCUACCUGUAUCGUUCUAGAAGAUCCUUCCAGAGUCCCAGGGAGACCUUUGCCUGCAUAUAAGUAUAGAGGUUAGAUAAAACAUGUACUCAACUAUAUGAAACAUUUUAGGCCAAGAUUUUCAAUCCCUUCUUAGAUUUCAAGAAUCCAUAUUCCCAAAGGUUGUUUUUUUCAUUCUUAUCAUUACAUCCUUUAUUAUUUUUUUGAUUCUUUAUCCUUUUCAAAGACAAAAUUCUUCAAAUUUCAACUUAAAAUGAACCAGCAAAGGAUUGAUUCUAGAAAAUUGUGACAUUGGUGAAGCUUUUCUUUGUCUCUCCUACCCUUAAGCUAUCCACUGUUACAUUUUCCUUCAAAAGCUUUAGCUAUUGAUUUCUGUAAACUUCU